rnacentral:rRNA from 1 species
UACGUAGGGUCCGAGCGUUGUCCGGAGUACUGGGCGUAAAGCGCGCGCAGGCGGCGGUGCUGGCCCGGCGUGAAAGCCCCCGGCUCAACCGGGGAGGGUCGUCGGGGACCGCACCGCUUGAGGGCGGUAGGGGCUGGUGGAAUGCCUGGUGUAGUGGUGAAAUGCGUAGAGAUCAGGCGGAACACCCGUGGCGAAGGCGGCCAGCUGGGCCGUCCCUGACGCUGAGGCGCGAAGGCGUGGGGAGCGAAC